rnacentral:lncRNA from 1 species
GCGCAAACCAUUCAACGAGCAUCGGGGCUACAAUUCCUCAUUCCUCAUGUAGUCACUAAACAUCAAUGAAUAAGGAUGGCAAUGGAGCAGGACGAGCAGAGAAUGUCCCGUUCUCGAAAACCAAUUCUUUGUCCUGCCUCGGAAGCCUUAACAGGGACAAAUCCAUCCCCAUCUCUGUCCCGUGGAGAACACUGCACCCCAAAAAUUGUUCUCUAAUACAGGGACAAUAAGGGCAUCACUGCAUCAUAACAAUUAUAGUUAUAUCAAUUAUUAAGAGGCAACAACAAGACAAAAAUAAAAGACAUGUAAUUGUGUGUGUCUAUAAAUAUAGUUAGGUUGAACCUUGAUUUCAUGGCUAUUCGGGUUCCCAAGGGGAAAAUUAUUCCCCAUCCCUGCCGUGUUUAUUUACGGGCCC